GAGGCGUGCAAUCUAACAAAACAACAACAUAUAGCCUAGCGUGUUAAAAAACAUAUAGCCUAGCAAGUUCAGAAAAAAAAAUAGCCUAACUGUCAAGAAACAAUCUAUCGUGCUUCAUAUAAACUUCAGGAUCGAUCCAAGCUUCCCCAAGGAAACUAUCUCCCUAUAUGCCUUCUUAUUCCAAUCGGCAUUGGAUCGUAGUACCAUACAGCUGUGGACCAGUCUCCUCGGGGACGGCAGAACUCUUACGUCCGUAUAAAGCCACGGCAUAAUCUAGCUUCUCGGUCGGCCACUUGCUGUCCAAUCAUGAAUUCUCCUCCAAGAAAAAGAGGAUCGCUCGAGAAUACAUCACCGUCCUCUCCUCCGCUGCUUGCCCCAUGUGCGGCGCCUCGGCUGCAUCAUUAUGGCCAGCGAGGUGUUCUUCUCCUUGCCCAGUAUCCAUGGCCCUCUCGAGGUCGACGGAAACUGGUCGUCGCUUGUGUCGAACUCUCCGUGCGAUCACAAUCCAACUACGAGUCCUUCUAACCAUCUCAUCGUGGACUCUUCUCUCUGCAACAUCCGUCUCAGCCAAGUAAACCAUGAGCCGAGUUCAUUGUCACAAAUGUCAACGUUCUGCAGGAGUAUUGAAUGUGUUUCCGAUAGUAGGAGCGCCCAGACUACAGGUUGCUCUACUUUAUGAUUUCUGCCUUUUUUCUUCAGUUGGCUUCUAUAGUGAUUGCUAUAUUGAGUGAUUAAGAUGCUGAUUAUAGUCAUUAUGGCUUUUCACCAUUUAAAGAUUGAUAUAUUGAGUGAUUAAGAUGUUGAGUAGGGCACAAAGUACGGCUGCCAUCGUUGAAAACUAGCUCAGACUCCUCACAGACAGUAUCACAUCAUUGUCGUGCUAAGAAUUACAACAAGGAGGAGAGUCGAUUGGCAACAUGUGGCAAAGCCGACCAAAGAAUUCUACAGUGAUUGCUAUAUUGAGUGAUUAAGAUGCUGAUUGUAGUCAUUAUGGCAUUUCACCAUUUAAAGAUUGGUAUAUUGAGUGAUUAAGAUGCUGUGUAUGGCACAAAGUAGGGCUGCCAUCAUUGAGAACUAGCUCAGACUCUUCCCGACCAGUCCCACAUCAUUGUCGUACUAAGAAAUACAACGAGGAGAGUCGGUUGGCAACAUGUGGCAAAGCCGACCAAAGAAUCACUCAAUGUUAGAAAGAGGAAAUGAUAAUAAACAUUAUAGCCACAUGCAUAGUUGGUGGAGCAUAAGUCCUCGGACAUACCAGGCUAAUAGAUGUUCAAGAGUACUUAUGGUAAAUGACUUGAUGGAAGUAAACAACGUAGCAGCAAGUGAUUUGAUUUUUCAUUAAUUUUGCACAGUUCA